GGCACAAAUUUGAAGUAGAGUAGAUUAGUAUGGUCGGCUGAUCCUACUAAUCUACUUUACUGCGAAUUUGGGCUC
rfam:Haemonchus placei strain MHpl1 genome assembly, scaffold: HPLM_scaffold0005640